GUCUAAACACCUCCUGAGCAUUGGAAAUCUAAAGUAAGCAGGUACUUCUAAAUCCCUGACAACUGAAGAGCCAGUUUAUGAUAAGGAAAACACUAAGCAGAGAUAUGGAAUUCAUUACCUCAAUAAAUUGUACAGAUAAAAAAUGUAAAUAUAGUAAUUUUAGGUAAUAAUUAGGUAAUAAUAUUUCUCCGUGUUCUAAGAUGUUCCUUGGCGAAAGAGAA